UACGGGGGGAGCAAGCGUUGUUCGGAUUUACUGGGCGUAAAGGGCGCGUAGGCGGUCGUGACAAGUCACUUGUGAAAUCUCCGGGCUUAACUCGGAAAGGUCAAGUGAUACUGUCGGACUAGAGUACAGAAGGGGCAACUGGAAUUCUCGGUGUAGCGGUGAAAUGCGUAGAUAUCGGAAGGAACAUCAGUGGCGAAAGCGGCUUCCUGGACCAGUACCGACGUUCAGGCACGAAAGCGUGGGGAGCAAACAGG
rnacentral:rRNA from 1 species